CCAAUAGCGUAUAUUAAAGUUGCUGCAGUUAAAAAGCUCGUAGUUGAAUUUCGGGACCAUCAUGUCGGUCGUGCCUCGGUACGUACUGGCAUUGUUGGUUUCUCCCUUCUGACGAACCAUGAUGUCAUUUAUUUGGUGUUGUGGGGAAUCAGGACUGUUACUUUGAAAAAAUUAGAGUGUUUAAAGCAGGCUCACGCUUGAAUACAUUAGCAUGGAAUAAUGAAAUAGGACGUUUGAUUCUAUUUUGUUGGUUUCUAGGAUCGACGUAAUGAUUAUUAGGGAUAUUUGGGGGCAUUAGUAUUCAAUUGUCAGAGGUGAAAUUCUUGGAUUUAUUGAAGACUAACUACUGCGAAAGCAUUUGCCAAGGAUGUUUUCAUUAAUCAAGAACGAAAGUUAGGGGAUCGAAGACGAUCAGAUACCGUCGUAGUCUUAACCAUAAACUAUGCCGACUAGGGAUCGGAUGAUGUUAAUUUUUUAAUGACUCAUUCGGCGCCUUACG
rnacentral:rRNA from 1 species